UUACGGCCAUAUCACGUUGAAACAUUGGUUCCCGUACGAUCAUCGAAGCCACACAAUGUCGAGCCUGGUUAUUACCUAGAUGGGUAACCGCUUGGGAAUACCACCAGCUGUA